AAAGCCAAACAUGGCGGAAGAAGAAGAAAUAGUGGGAGAAGUAGAAGCAUUACAAGCUGUUUAUGGCGACGAUUGCUUACUCCUACAAACUUAUCCUCCUUCGUUUCAUCUUCAUAUCAAGCCUCGUACUGCCGAUGACUCUUCUCAACAGUUUGUGGAAGCAAUCAUAGGAAUCCAGGCUGGUUCUAAGUAUCCUGACGAGCCACCCGCUAUUAGAAUUAUCGAUUCCAAGGGUCUUGAUGAGCAAAGGCAAAAACAA
rnacentral:misc_RNA from 1 species